UACGGAGGGUGCGAGCGUUGUCCGGAUUCAUUGGGUUUAAAGGGUGCGUAGGCGGGGGAUUAAGUCCGGGGUGAAAGACGGUUGCUCAACAAUCGCAGUGCCUUGGAUACUGGUCCUCUUGGGUAGAGUCGAGGCGGGCGGAAUGGCCGGUGUAGCGGUGAAAUGCAUAGAUACCGGCCAGAACCCCGAUUGCGAAGGCAGCCCGCUGGGCUCCAACCGACGCUGAGGCACGAAAGCGUGGGGAUCAAACAGG
rnacentral:rRNA from 1 species